rnacentral:rRNA from 1 species
GAUGAACGCUGGCGGCGUGCCUAAUACAUGCAAGUCGAGCGAACGGACGAGAAGCUUGCUUCUCUGAUGUUAGCGGCGGACGGGUGAGUAACACGUGGAUAACCUACCUAUAAGACUGGGAUAACUUCGGGAAACCGGAGCUAAUACCGGAUAAUAUUUUGAACCGCAUGGUUCAAAAGUGAAAGACGGUCUUGCUGUCCCUUAUAGAUGGAUCCGCGCUGCAUUAGCUAGUUGGUAAGGUAACGGCUUACCAAGGCAACGAUGCAUAGCCGACCUGAGAGGGUGGUCGGCCACACUGGAACUGAGACACGGUCCAGAUUCCUACGGGAGGCAGCAGUAGGGAAUCUUCCGCAAUGGGCGAAAGCCUGACGGAGCAACGCCGCGUGAGUGAUGAAGGUCUUCGGAUCGUAAAACUCUGUUAUUAGGGAAGAACAUAUGUGUAAGUAACUGUGCACAUCUUGACGGUACCUAAUCAGAAAGCCACGGCUAACUACGUG